rnacentral:lncRNA from 1 species
GGCCUUUUUACUCCUAGUAAUUAAUCUUUUUCAUAAUGCUGUCAUGUUUAGAGCCAUUUUAUUAAGUUUCUGGACUCUAAAUUUCUAUAUGCCACUCCUUUGCCUCGUCAGUGUCUGAAAUGAAAAUAAAAACACAACCACCACAAAGCAACCAGAUGGAUGGAUCUCUCUUACUAAGGACGCUCAGGCAAUCUAGAUGCAAGGGCCGUUCUUUUCCUCUUGAUGAACACAGACCCUCAUCUCCAGGCUUUGGGCAUGGUUUGCUGUGGUUUCUUCAUGCUCCUUGUUUAUGUGGACACUAGUCAGGUAUAAGAAGCUUAAGAAUCAGGAAGAGGACUUGCUUCUCUUAGUCUCUCUCUCCUUCAAAAUCCAAAUCUAGGAGAGGAAGACCUAUUCACUGCUAUUUGGCUGGCCAUUCUCAUGCAGGGAGCAUUGCUGAAUCCUAUCCUUUUUGCCUCUUUUGGGGUUGCAAUUGCAUUGGUGUGUGUGAGCAGCGUUUUUCUCUGGCCCACUGACCUAAUUGCGAUAGGGGAGGACCCAGUGCCUAAGAGCUGGCAUCCAGAAACUUCCAUUACUACAACAUGCUUUUCUGUUUUUAUUGGUUCAGGAUUACCUAUUUGCAUGACAAGCAACAUAAUUCAGCCAGAAAAAUCUGUUGUGUGUAGGGUUUGUGUAGUGACUUAGGAAGCUCACACUCCAACCUGCCUUCUCCCACGACAGUUGCCCACCCAGCAAAUACUGAAGCUUCAUCCUCACGGGUGGGCUGCAGAGGAACUCAGACACAGACCCUCCUUUAGAGGACACUGCUGUGCCAGGCAUGGCGACUGCAUCAACCCAAUAAUCAACCUAAUGAUUUAUUUUAUUCUGAUAUUUUUAUGAUUUGUGUCAUUUUUCAAUAAACUUGAAACCACCUGCAGUGACCAUUACUGUAUAUCAUUCUAAGUAGGGCAUUUCAUCCCCUUGGACAAAUUUUAUCACAAUCUGACUACCCUUGAUUUCUGGGUGCUCUCUCUGUGACUCUAUUUACCAAAAAUAUAUGUGAGUAUUUUUUCAAAAUAGGACAUACAUAUUAGUUUCUAUCUGUGUUGAUUUUCCACUUCCUUCAGCCUUUGAAAGAAAAGCAUUUUUCUCUGUAUGCACACUGUUAUCACUGACUGUCUGGAGAGCCUGAAUACCCACACAGGUGGGACUGUGAUCCUGUAUGAUUUUUGUGCUCACACCUAUGCGGACCACAUGUGUGAUCUGGAAGAACUAGGGAUCUAAUUGAGCGCUUGGUCCUGGAG